rnacentral:rRNA from 1 species
AAUAUUGGUCAAUGGCCGAAAGCCUGAUCCAGCCAUGCCGCUAGUGUGAAGAAUGUCAUCUGUUUGUAAAUCAUGUUUUGUUGGGAGGAAGGGCAGUAAGUUAAUACCCUGAUGUUCUGACGAUACCGAUAGAAUAAGUACCGGCUAACUCAGUGCCCGCAGCUGCGGUAAUACGAAGAGCGCAAGCGUUAAACGGAAUUACUGGGCGUAAAGCGCGCGUAGGUGGUUCGUUAAGUUGGAUGUGAAAGCCCCGGGCUCAACCUGGGAACUGCAUCCAAAUCUGGCGAGCUAGAGUACGGUAGAGGGUGGUGGAAUUUCCUGUGUAGCGGUGAAAUGCGUAGAUAUAGGAAGGAACACCAGUGGCGAAGGCGACCACCUGGACUGAUACUGACACUGAGGUGCGAAAGCGUGGGGAGCAAACAGG